UAGGGAAUCUUCGGCAAUGGACGAAAGUCUGACCGAGCAACGCCGCGUGAGUGAAGAAGGUUUUCGGAUCGUAAAACUCUGUUGUUAGAGAAGAACAAGGACGUUAGUAACUGAACGUCCCCUGACGGUAUCUAACCAGACAGCCACGGCUAACUCCGUGCCAGCAGCCGCGGUAAUACGGAGGGUGCAAGCGUUAAUCGGAAUUACUGGGCGUAAAGCGCACGCAGGCGGUUGAUUGAGUCAGAUGUGAAAUCCCCGGGCUUAACCCGGGAAUUGCAUCUGAUACUGGUCAGCUAGAGUCUUGUAGAGGGGGGUAGAAUUCCAUGUGUAGCGGUGAAAUGCGUAGAGAUGUGGAGGAAUACCGGUGGCGAAGGCGGCCCCCUGGACAAAGACUGACGCUCAGGUGCGAAAGCGUGGGGAGCAAACAGG
rnacentral:rRNA from 1 species